CCUACGGGGGGCAGCAGUAGGGAAUAUUGCUCAAUGGGGGAAACCCUGAAGCAGCAACGCCGCGUGGAGGAUGAAGGUUUUCGGAUUGUAAACUCCUUUUGUUAGAGAAGACAAUGACGGUAUCUAACGAAUAAGCACCGGCUAACGCCGUGCCAGCAGCCGCGGUAAUACGGAGGGUGCAAGCGUUACUCGGAAUCACUGGGCGUAAAGCGCGCGUAGGCGGGAUAGCAAGUCAGAUGUGAAAUCCUAUGGCUUAACCAUAGAACUGCAUUUGAAACUGUUAUUCUAGAGUAUGGGAGAGGUAGGUGGAAUUCUUGGUGUAGGGGUCAAAUCCGUAGAGAUCAAGAGGAAUACUCAUUGCGAAGGCGACCUGCUAGAACAUAACUGACGCUGAUGCGCGAAAGCGUGGGGAGCAAACAGGAUUAGAUACCCUAGUAGUC
rnacentral:rRNA from 1 species